UACGUAGGGUGCGAGCGUUAAUCGGAAUUACUGGGCGUAAAGCGUGCGCAGGCGGUUCGUUAAGUCAGAUGUGAAAGCCCCGGGCUCAACCUGGGAACUGCAUUUGAAACUGGCGGGCUUGAGUGUGGCAGAGGGGGGUGGAAUUCCGCGUGUAGCAGUGAAAUGCGUAGAGAUGCGGAGGAACACCGAUGGCGAAGGCAGCCCCCUGGGCCAACACUGACGCUCAGGCACGAAAGCGUGGGGAGCAAACAGG
rnacentral:rRNA from 1 species